AUUUCUUUAGUAUAUUAGUACAAGUACCUUCCAAGCAUUAAGACCCCACCCGGGAAGAAAUA
rnacentral:tRNA from 1 species